GAUGAACGCUGGCGGCGUGCCUAAUACAUGCAAGUCGAGCGAAUGGAUUAAGAGCUUGCUCUUAUGAAGUUAGCGGCGGACGGGUGAGUAACACGUGGGUAACCUGCCCAUAAGACUGGGAUAUCUCCGGGAAACCGGGGCUAAUACCGGAUAACACUUUGAACCGCAUGGUUCGAAAUUGAAAGGCGGCUUCGGCUGUCACUUAUGGAUGGACCCGCGUCGCAUUAGCUAGUUGGUGAGGUAACGGCCCACCAAGGCAACGAUGCGUAGCCGACCUGAGAGGGUGAUCGGCCACACUGGGACUGAGACACGGCCCAGACUCCUACGGGAGGCAGCAGUAGGGAAUCUUCCGCAAUGGACGAAAGUCUGACGGAGCAACGCCGCGUGAGUGAUGAAGGCUUUCGGGUCGUAAAACUCUGUUGUUAGGGAAGAACAAGUGCUAGUUGAAUAAGCUGGCACCUUGACGGUACCUAACCAGAAAGCCACGGCUAACUACGUGCCAGCCGCCGCGGUAA
rnacentral:rRNA from 1 species